rnacentral:rRNA from 1 species
UAGGGAAUCUUCCGCAAUGGGCGAAAGCCUGACGGAGCAACGCCGCGUGAGUGAUGAAGGUCUUCGGAUUGUAAAACUCUGUUAUUAGGGAAGAACAAAUGUGUAAGUAACUAUGCACGUCUUGACGGUACCUAAUCAGAAAGCCACGGCUAACUACGUGCCAGCAGCCGCGGUAAUACGUAGGUGGCAAGCGUUAUCCGGAAUUAUUGGGCGUAAAGCGCGCGUAGGCGGUUUUUUAAGUCUGAUGUGAAAGCCCACGGCUCAACCGUGGAGGGUCAUUGGAAACUGGAAAACUUGAGUGCAGAAGAGGAAAGUGGAAUUCCAUGUGUAGCGGUGAAAUGCGCAGAGAUAUGGAGGAACACCAGUGGCGAAGGCGACUUUCUGGUCUGUAACUGACGCUGAUGUGCGAAAGCGUGGGGAUCAAACAGG